UCUGAGCCAAACAGACAGGCUACAGCUGGUUUAUCACCACUUCUCCACACUGAGUCUGUGCCUGGGGACAGGAGGGUUGGCAGGGAAAUUCACAGGCUGCUUUUGGAAGCUGCUGAGUAUAACUGCUAUGUGGUUUUGGUGUGAGUCAUCAGGGCAGGGAUGAGGUUGGAGGAGUGGGGUUUUCCUGCAAUCUCUGGGUUCUGUCUGGGUGUUUAAGGAUGCGAGUGGCUCUGGCAACCAGCCCCACAGCUGCCUCAUCAUUUGCAUGCUGAUUUACAUGGCUGAGUCCUUGGCACUCAUGUAUGGAAAUAACAGGAGUACCUACCUUACAGGGCUGUUGUGAGCAUCAAAGGAGGAGCUCCUACAGGGAGGGCAGGCCCUUGCCCAGGAUGCCAUCCCUUCAUUCUGUAGACGGAGGAUGGACAUGUCUACAAGACCCCUCUGUGGGCUGCGACCACCAGCUGCAGUCCGUCUUCCCACCCCACGGCCGGCUCCUUGCAGGUGCACUGGUGCACUCACCUUACCCUGACGACACCUGACUUUUCUUCUAUUUUUUCUCUUUCUAUUUCCUCCUUUACUUAAAACAAAGCAAAAUCUUGUUGCAUCAUAGGUAUUUCUGUAAGCUACCUUAGGUCUUUCUUGGAAUAAGCAGAGAAUAAAUAAAGAAAUGAGUUCCUAGAGUUCUUAUUUACCUUUCUCGAAGUUUUUACAGAUGUGGUUUCAAACAUAUUUUGCAGAGGAGCCCUUUUUUAAAAAACAUAAAACUCUCUCAUAGAAUCCCUGUAUGUAUAUAUAAACAGUUUUGCUCUUGUUAAAGCAGG